rnacentral:ncRNA from 1 species
AGUGAGUUAGUAGUUCGCUGAGUAACUGAAGGGUGCAUUAUUUGUACCAGCAAGCUUGCCUUGUGGGAUCCUUCAGUCAGGGGAAAGCUCACUUUUUU